rnacentral:RNase_P_RNA from 1 species
CGAUGCCGAGAGGAAAGUCCGGGCAGCACGAGCCACCAUGCCUCUUAAUGGGAGGGGGUCUGUCUGCGCAAGCGGCAGGCUACAGCGAGCGCCACAGAGAAGAUACCGCCAGCCCUUUUUUAAGGGAAGGUAAGGGUGAAAACGCGGGGUAAGAGCCCACGACAUGUCCCGGUAACGGGCACGAUGGCAAGCCUCAUGGGUUGAAAGACCAUGUAUACCAGUUGGUCUCACGACCACAAGCAGGCUCGCUUGUAUGACUGGGGGGUAGGUCGAUUGAGGCCGUCGGCGACGGCGGUCCUAGAUUAAUGAUAGAACACGACAGAACCCGGCUUAUGGACCC